rnacentral:rRNA from 1 species
UACAGAGGUCCCGAGCGUUGUUCGGAUUCACUGGGCGUAAAGGGUGCGUAGGUGGUGGCGUAAGUCGGAUGUGAAAUGUCGGAGCUCAACUCCGAAACGGCAUUGGAAACUGCGCUGCUGGAGGGUCGGAGGGGGGACUGGAAUUCUCGGUGUAGCAGUGAAAUGCGUAGAUAUCGAGAGGAACACCGGUGGCGAAGGCGAGUCCCUGGACGACACCUGACACUGAGGCACGAAAGCUAGGGGAG